rnacentral:rRNA from 1 species
GACAGAGGGUGCGAACGUUGUUCGGAAUUACUGGGCGUAAAGCGCGUGUAGGCGGCAGCGUGUGUCGGGCGUGAAAUCCCACGGCUCAACCGUGGAAGUGCACUCGAAACUGCGCAGCUAGAGUCCUGGAGAGGAAGGUGGAAUGCUUGGUGUAGAGGUGAAAUUCGUAGAUAUCAAGCGGAACACCGGUGGCGAAGGCGGCCUUCUGGACAGUGACUGACGCUGAGACGGCGAAAAGCGUGGGGAGCAAACAGGG